rnacentral:rRNA from 1 species
AACGAACGCUGGCGGCGUGCUUAACACAUGCAAGUCGAACGCGAAAGAUUUCUUCGGAGAUCGAGUAGAGUGGCGCACGAGUGAGUAACGCGUAAGUUAUCUACCUCGGCAUCUGGAAUAACGCACCGAAAGGUGAGCUAAUACCGGAUACGUUGAGUAAUCAAGAAAGGGGGCCUCUGCAUAUGCUACCGUGCUGAGAUGAGCUCGCGUACCAUUAGCUAGUUGGUAGGGUAAUGGCCUACCAAGGCGACGAUGGUUAGCGGGUCUGAGAGGAUGAUCCGCCACACUGGAACUGGAACACGGACCAGACUCCUACGGGAGGCAGCAGUGAGGAAUAUUGCGCAAUGGGGGAAACCCUGACGCAGCGACGCCGCGUGGAUGAUGAAGGCCUUCGGGUCGUAAAAUCCUGUCAGGUGGAAAGAAAUGCAUGGUGGUUAAUACCCAUCAUGUUUGACGGUACCACCGAAGGAAGCACCGGCUAACUCCGUGCCAGCAGCCGCAGUAACAC